GAUGAACGCUAGCGAUAGGCUUAACACAUGCAAGUCGAGGGGCAGCAUGGUCUUAGCUUGCUAUGCCUGAUUGCGACCGGCGCACGGGUGCGUAACGCGUCUUCAACUUGCCUUACAGAGAGGUAUAACCCGUCGAAGGACGUACUAAUACCGCGUACCCUUGGGAUAGUGCAUCUUGACCCAAGGCAAUGAAAUUGGCUGUGAGAUAGGCAUGCGUCCCAUUAGCUAGUUGGUGAGGUAACGGCUGACCAGGGCGACGAUGGGUAGGGGAAGGAAGAGGGGGAGCCCUGACAGGGGUACUGAGACAAGGACGAGAGUCAUACGGGAGGCACCAGUGAGGGAGAUUGCUGAAUGGGCGAGAGCCUGAACCAGCCAAGUCGCGUGAAGGAUGACUGUGUGAGGGAUUGUAACCUUCGUUUAGACGGGAAUAACAAGAGCCACGUGUGGCUGAGUGCAGGUACCGGAUGAAUAAGCAUCGGCUAACUCCGUG
rnacentral:rRNA from 1 species